AGCUCGUUGGUCUAGGGGUAUGAUUCUCGCUUAGGAUGCGAGAGGUCCCGGGUUGAAAUCCCGGACGAGCCC
rnacentral:tRNA from 1 species